AUUGAACGCUGGCGGCAUGCCUUACACAUGCAAGUCGAACGGUAACGCGGGGCAACCUGGCGACGAGUGGCGAACGGGUGAGUAAUGCAUCGGAACGUGCCCAGUAGUGGGGGAUAGCCCGGCGAAAGCCGGAUUAAUACCGCAUACGACCUACGGGUGAAAGGGGGGGAUCGCAAGACCUCUCGCUAUUGGAGCGGCCGAUGUCAGAUUAGGCAGUUGGUGGGGUAAAGGCCCACCAAGCCUUCGAUCUGUAGCUGGUCUGAGAGGACGACCAGCCACACUGGGACUGAGACACGGCCCAGACUCCUACGGGAGGCAGCAGUGGGGAAUUUUGGACAAUGGGCGCAAGCCUGAUCCAGCCAUGCCGCGUGCGGGAAGAAGGCCUUCGGGUUGUAAACCGCUUUUGUCAGGGAAGGAACGCUCUGGGCUAAUACCUCGGGGUAAUGACGGUACCUGAAGAAUAAGCACCGGCUAACUACGUGCCAGCCGCCGCAGUAA
rnacentral:rRNA from 1 species